rnacentral:lncRNA from 1 species
CAGGCAUUCAGCUGCACUGUGUUCAGAGAUGCCUUGCUCUACUUGGGCUUUUUCUGCUGUUUGGAGGGGUUGUGAUGCCUGACAUCCCUAAUGAGGUUUUUGUCAGUCCAUCACCUAACCUCAGGGAUAGCUGAUUAGAACAAUGGUCUGCCUCGGACCCUGUAGGGGCCUCCAUCUCCAUGAUUCACUUGCAGCUCAGAGGGGAGAAGGAGCCAUUGCAUAGUAUCUGGAUGUUGCAAAGUUCCAUUUCUAGCAAAAUCCUCGGUGGAGUUUAGAUUUCAUCAUUUUGAGUGCACAAUGCUGUUUUCAGAGGAAGAGCAUUGGGGAAUCAAUCAGAGCCAUGUUAUAAAAGGAUCCCCAUCACUACAGAGCUGAAGUCUUCACCAAAUGCCCAGUUCAUUAAUCAGGCUCCCAGCGGCAAUUCUGAAAUUCCAGAGCAAGAUCAGCUUUCCACCACUGCUGCCCCUGCGGGAGCUAUCUUCUCAGAUAGCUUCUUGAAUUCUCUUUUGUCUAUGGUAAGUAGAUGUAUCACAAACUGUCAUGUUUAGCGGCAUCAGAGU